CGUAAUAGCUCACUGGUCGAGUGAUCCUGCGCCGAAGAUUUCCGGGGCUAAAACUUACUACCGAAGCUACGGCAUCAGUAAUGAUGGGUAGGGGAGCUUCCCAUACGGGUUGAAGCAUGACCGUAAGUACAUGUGGACAGUAUGGGAGUGAGAAUGUUGGCAUGAGUAGCGAGAUGUGGGUGAGAAUCCCACAGGCCGUAAACCCAAGGUUUCCAGGGGCAGGUUCGUCCGCCCUGGGUUAGUCGGGACCUAAGC
rnacentral:rRNA from 1 species